GGGUAGGGUGGGGUAGGGUGAAUUUAACCUGGACAAUCGUGCUGCUUUCCACCUUGUCUGAUUGGGACCGACGCAUAUCUUAGAGAUGGAGGAACAUCAUGGCUUCACACAAUAUCAAAACCCAAGCUUAGUAUAUGGAAACUCUUCCGCCUGAUUUCAUGAGGAAUGGCUGGACAGAGAUUGGUGCUAACAUUCUACACUACAGUCAGAAAUGCAGAAAAAAACAAUUACGGCCAACCUGCCUUCCAUUGAGGACCUGUAUACUGCAAGAGUCAAAA